CCUACGGGUGGCUGCAGUGGGGGAUAUUGCACAAUGGGCGCAAGCCUGAUGCAGCCAUGCCGCGUGUGUGAAGAAGGCCUUCGGGUUGUAAAGCACUUUCAGCGGGGAGGAAGGCGUUAAGGUUAAUAACCUUGGCGAUUGACGUUACCCGCAGAAGAAGCACCGGCUAACUCCGUGCCAGCAGCCGCGGUAAUACGGAGGGUGCAAGCGUUAAUCGGAAUUACUGGGCGUAAAGCGCACGCAGGCGGUCUGUCAAGUCGGAUGUGAAAUCCCCGGGCUCAACCUGGGAACUGCAUUCGAAACUGGCAGGCUAGAGUCGUGUAGAGGGGGGUAGAAUUCCAGGUGUAGCGGUGAAAUGCGUAGAGAUCUGGAGGAAUACCGGUGGCGAAGGCGGCCCCCUGGACAAAGACUGACGCUCAGGUGCGAAAGCGUGGGGAGCAAACAGGAUUAGAUUCCCGGGUAGUC
rnacentral:rRNA from 1 species